UCGUCUCUGUGGGCUUGAGUGAAAGACUACAGACAAAAAUCAAAAUGGUCCGUUUCUAUAGAAAGACACUUCGAAAUCGAAAUUCUGUCAAAAUAUCGAUAUUUUUAGCAUUAAACUGAGACGCCACGCAACAAUAGAAUUUCGACAAUUGUCUGUUGCUUUGUUCGAAUGCGAUUGUUUCGAGUAUUUUCGGAGAGUUUUGCUGCAGUUUUUGCCAUUAUUUUAGGAUGGACAAUUUUAAAGCGCUAAAGAAUUGGAACACCUCUGAAAAAGAGAGUGCGGAGGAAAGCUCCUCGACAUCAGGAACGUCUUCCUCUUCGAUUCGAGUGAUUCGCGUGCGUCCGAAAGAAGUGCUGGAGGGUGCGAAGGAACCCGACAAGAAACGGGUGAUUGUCACCAUUCCCGAUGAGAGCACCUCGUCUGUCAUCGACUACCUGGAACAGAGAUAUCCAGAAGUUCCGGAAUGGUCGGUGCAGAGAGAGGCACGCGAGGAAGGAGUCGAAGGGGAGUGUAAAUCGAUCCUGAAAAAGAGGAAAAAGAAGCCUUGGUGGAAGAAGAUUUUCUUCUUCUGGAAGAAAUAAAUCUCCGAGGUCUUCUUAUUAAAUGUGACUUUUAUUUUCGAUUGUGACAUUUUUACCCGGAUGUGACUUUUAUUCCCGAUUGUGACAUUUUUACCCGGAUGUGGACUUUUACCUGGCUUUGACCUAAUGACCGGAUGUGACUUUUAAUGGCGGUUUGGCGUCUUCCCUUUCCUGCUGGGAAUUUUUGGAAUGAUACAUGUCCUUCGUCAUCGCUUACGAGGGACGUGUUCUUCCACUUCAGUUAAUUAAAGUCGACGGUGACAACUUAGCACCGUCUUCGGUCGUUUGAAAUCUCUCAACCGAGGAUGAAAUUCUGACCAAAAAAUAAUGGAUUUUCGCCAGCAACGUGGAUGUAAACACUGGACACCCGAAUACAAACAAAAGGGAAAUAUCGCAGUUAGUAUAUGUCUAAGCUACAAUUAUAAUUAUGUUGAACAAUUAGACGUGUAUAUAAAUUUUACUUAAUAAAACUUUUUAAAUUUA